rnacentral:tRNA from 1 species
AUCUCCCUAGUAUUAAUGUUAGUACAAGUGACUUCCAAUCAUUGAGUCUUGGUUAAACCCCAAGGAGAGAUA